rnacentral:rRNA from 1 species
GACGAACGCUGGCGGCGUGCUUAACACAUGCAAGUCGAACGGAAGGGCCCUGCUCUUGCUUUUUGUUCGUUUGGGGAGCGGGUGUGUGUCACGCGUGUAACCCGUCCUCUGUUUUGGGAGAACUCCAGGAAACUUGGGUUAUUACCGGGUAUGACACGCUACUUCACGUGACGUUUCGUUAAGUGUCGGCGGUUGCGGUUGGUCCAGCGGCUUCUCAGCUUGUUGGUGGGGUAGUGGCUGACCAAGGCUUUGACGGGUAGCCGGCCUUAGAGGGUGACCGGCCACAUUGGGACUGCGAUACGGACCAGACUCCUACGGGAGGCAGCAGUGGGGAAUAUUGCACAAUGGGCGGAAGCCUGAUGAAGCAACGCCGCGUGCGGGAUGACGGCCUUCGGGUUGUAAACCGCUUUCGCCUGUGACGAAGCGUGAGUGACGGUAAUGGGUAAAGAAGCACCGGCUAACUACGUG